GAACUAUAUUCACGAUCACUUCCACCCAUUUUGUCUUCUCUGAGAAUCUGCUAUUGAGCACAGAGUUUGCACCAACAAGGGUAUCAGGACUGGACAGCCUUCUCGCCCUCCCCACUUCUUACUACUCUAGGGAUUGCUAUUCUUGGGAAUGUCAGGCGACCCCACCAACAUUUUCUUUUGGAUGCACCUUUUAAUUCACCUUUUACAAUGUCAAGAAAAUAACUCUACAGUGUUGAAGAGAGCAUACCACAGGUAUCAAGACUAGAUGCUAGAAAGUGACUGAUUUGUGGCUGAAACAGAAUCCACUUUUGUUCUGACCCUUACCUGUCCUUCAGUCACAAAUCCACUGAUAUAAAUUCACAAGCUGUUUCAUGUUACUUUGGGUAACACAUUACCUAUUGUGGAGAAAGGCCUGUGAAUAAAAUACCUACUUCUCGUUAAAAAAGAAGACUGCUAUGGCUUCUAAACCUUGAGUUAUAGAGUAUUCACUGGCUGUGGGUCAUGAUGUUUGCAUCUUGCAGGGUGAUGAACCGCACUGGUUUGUUGACUGAUUAUGAAUGCCUGAAAACCACACUGCUUUCCUCCUCCUCCUUUCAGGCAUCCUGACAGUUCUGGGGAAUUCAGCUGUCCUGGCAGUAACUGUAAAGCUCCUCCCAUCUCAGGUCACCUGAGCUCCUGACGAUUAAUCUGGCUGUAUCUUGGAAUGGCCAUCAGCAUGUAGCCCCUGGCUAUUGCUUCUACCUGGAACCAUGCCUGGUUGGGGGGGGGGCAUGCAACUUGCAUUUAUUAUGCCCUGGUGGGUUUUCUUUUUGGUGUCGCCAAAUUGCAAUCCAUUGCAAUCAUGAACAAGUGUGACUCAAAGAAGGCUGCCACCUGGGCAUUUUCCUGCCUCUGUCCUUUUGCUUGUGUGAGGCAGACCUCACUGAGCUUUAAAAAGGCGGAAAAGACCUCCUGACCUAUUUUGCCACAGUCCUUGCAAAUAACGAGGCAUUUAGCAGUACUUACCAAGGUAGGGGGAUGUGGGUGGCGCUGUGGAUUAAACCACAGAGCCUAGGGCUUGCCGAUCAGAAAGUGGGCGGUUCAAAUCCCCGCGACGGGGUGAGCUCCUGUUGCUUGUUCCCUUCUCCUGCCAACCUAACAGUUUGAAAGCAUGUCAAAGUGCAAGUAGAUCAAUAGGUACCGCUCUGGCAGGAAUGUAAACGGCGUUUCUGUGCGCUGCUCUGGUUCGCCAGAAGCGGCUUAGUCAUGCUGGCCACAUGACCCAGAAGCUGUACGCCGGCUCCCUCAGCCAAUAAAGCGAGAUCAGCGCCACAACCACAGUGUCGUCCGCGACUGGACCCAACGGUCAGGGGUCCAAGGUAGGGAAUAGUGAAGAGAAAUCUGGGCAACGAAGGACCAGCUCCAAAAACAUUGGAGCUAUGGGCGCUCUUUGUAGUAUUUUGCCUUUCAUUUACCCUCACCUGCAGAAAUGGGUGGUGAUGGCAACCUGGGGUGCCAGAUCUCUUGCGCCCAACAGUCACCAGCUGUUCUGUGCAGUUUCUGCUACCACUUACGGCUUAAGAAGAAAGCAAGGCUUAUGUUGGAGUAGGCCCAAAGGACAUUUCACCAAAAGGGAGGCCCCCCUCUCUUAAGUCAUUGAAUCCUUUCUGCAGCUAUUAUUAAUUGAUAAACACGAUAGGGGUGAAAGCCUCUCUGGGUGGUUCACACAGAGUUGAAACAAUACACAUUGUUCAAACCCUCCAAGUGUCCCUAUUUUCCAGGGAUGUCCCUGAUUGAGAGAAGCCGUCCUGGUUUCUGAUUUGAUCCUUCAAAGUCCCAGCAUUCCCUAUGGUGUCCCUAGUUUCACUGAAGAAAUGUAAGAGGGUAUGGAGUUAUCUGACCCCCGAGCCAUCUGAAGGCAAUCCUGUACAGGGAUGGUUUUUUUUAAUGUUUCAUUUUUUGUUUCCUUUAUAUAUAUGGUGGGUGAAGCAACAUGGCGCACACCAGGGCGUCGCAGAGCUCCUGAGGGUGGCCUGCGUUGCUCGUGCUGCCUGACCGGCUUCCAAGCUGCCGGGACCGCCGCCACUGCGUGGGGGCUGGGGGCACCCAAUGUAUCAACCGGGGAGCUGCCAGACCCCCCCCAGCGACCCCACCAGGCCGGAGCCAAGGGCACCCGGCCAACGGCCGAGAGGAGCUCCAAGGCCUGGGACAACCCACCUCGCUCUUCCAGAGGGAUAGGAGAAGGGGAGAAGGAGGAGACAGGCGCCCGGCCAUCUGGGGCCGGUGGGACCCAGGAGCGAGUGCGGAGGGGGAGAGAAGCCCUGGCCCUGCUGCCACCGCCAUUGCGCUGCCAAUGCCAAGGGAAAGGAGGAGAGGCAGGAGGAGGCCGCGAGGAAACACGUGGCUGAGCCUGUAGCCUUAUGAGGCUUUGCCCUCGGGCUUGGAAGACUGAGAAGAGCGAUUUCACGGAUGGCGGAAAAAAAUAAAGUGUGCCCUCUCCCCGAGUCCUCCCCCCGCCCCCCCUCCGCAGGCCCCUUUUCGAAAGGACUUCGAAGGUAAAACCUUUCAGCCUAUAGAAGUUGAUUCCAGUCCCUGAGAUUUCUUAGGAAAGGUCUCUGUCUGAGGCCUAUUUUGAGCUGUAGAU